rnacentral:lncRNA from 1 species
UCAACUCUAGUCAUCCUUUCCCCAAGGUCUUGCCGCAUAACCCUCAUCUCUUCUCUCAAAGCGUUGAGGACUUGCAUCAUGGUAGCUUGCUCACUCGCUUCUCCCAUGUAUGCGGUUGAGUUGUACCUUGCAAGAUAAACAAGAGAUGCCUUAGCUUUUCAAUAGGUAAAUAAGAAAGAAAACGAGAAAGAAAAGAUACAAAUUUCCUUUUUUUUUUUUUAUAAAUUCGAAUAGGCAAAGACAAUAAUAAAAGCUGUAGUAGAAUUAAAAUUGGAAAGACUUGGAGAAAGUGAUCGACCGGGAAGGAAAUAAUUUGAAAACUCUUUGCAAAUAUGGAAAUCG